CCGCCGCCUCUCCUGCGGGCCGUCACGCGCAGCCGGCGCCCAGCCCGGAGGACCCCGAGCCUGGUCCCCGGGGUUCAGCCCGAGGGCGGAAGGGGGCGCAAGGGGCGCGCUGGGCCCCGAACCCGGAGAGCGGGGCUUCUGCUGUGCGCACCACCGGCCCCGAGGGGGCGCCCGAGCCCGCCCCGGAGCGCCUCGGGGUCAGGCCCGCCCGGCGCCGCCCCCUCAGCGCGACGCCGCUCGGCGGCCCUGGGUCCGCGGCCUGUCACAGUGAGUCCCGGGCGUCCUCCUCAGCCGGGCGAGGAGGGCCUCGGCCGCGGGCCCUCGGAGAAGCGUUUGUCCUCCGAGGCGAGCACGGAACCUUGGAGUCUCCGCCUCGUUCCCACGGGCUUUAUUCUUACGAAAUUCGCGUUUCAGGACCAGAAACACAUGUCCAGCCAGAAGGUCCCUGUGGGAUCCAUGGAGAAAGCGCUGCUUCUGCAGUGAGGACACAAGCUUCAUUCCUGUGGGACUGACCUGGGGAAGUUCCUGUGGCUCUGGGACAACUCAGUGUUUCAUCCAUACUUGCCUAUUUAGUGCUUUACAUUUCCGCGAGUGAAAUACCAGUGAAAGACAAGACAGUUGGUGGCUGAGCUAGUGAAAAUGCAUCCACAGGUGAGUAGGAAAUUGCUCUUUCUGGUUAAAUGACACCUUUGUUUUCAGCAGAUGAUUCCUUCUUUUGACAUGAAUGUCCUAAGUUUAGUCAGAGAUAUUCAAAGAUCUAAGCUCCAGUUAAUUUUCCCCAGUAUUGUGG
rnacentral:lncRNA from 1 species